rnacentral:lncRNA from 1 species
UCCUACGUUUGCUUUUUUAAAUCCAAAUAUCUACGUGGAUCUAUCCCACUGAAGCCAAGGUAACAUUUAUUGGAUUUUCUGAAAAUAGAAGUGACGAAAACAAAAGUAAAUGAAAAUUAUCUUCUUCAGCUUAACGUUUCAGUUAUAAAAUAGAGGAGCUGCAUCAAAGGACAGCUUUAGGAAGUCUUAUUUAUUCAUUUUCUACCUGUGAGAAUGUGUGAGUGAAAGAACUCUAGAGCUUUUUAUCACAGAACCUAUUACCACGUUUAACCAUUAAAUGGCUGUAAGUGAGAAGUAGUAUUUAGACAUAUAGAAGAGUAAGAAAAAUCUUACUUAAAAAAAGAGCCCCUUAAACUUACAAGAUUACCUGAAAAAACAUAAGCAGUCCUCAAAAAUUAGAGGUAAUUGAGAUGUGUACAUUAUUGCAUCAGCUCUAACGUACGCUGUUGUGAAUAUUUUAGCUGUGUUUAUUGGCUUUGUACAAGUAGCUCGGACAGAGAAAGAAUGGAUCAGUAAUCUUGACCUCAGUCAAAAACUCUGUGAAGACAGGGCAGGAGACACUUUUGCCAAAUCACAUUCUUGUCUCUCACUUUCUGUCAGUGUUUAAGAAAAAAUAAAAUACAGCAAGUGUGAGUUCUCAAGGAUAAAUGUUUUCUAUAAAUUGUAAAAACAUCAUGCAUUUAAAAACAAAAUUGGAAACGCAUAUCAUGGAAGGUGUAUUUUGUAUGCAUAAAUUCACGACAAUUAAAGGCUGCUUUCAUUCUGUCAAUCAUUGCUGUGUAGAAUGACUAUCCCAGAUAGUAAUACGUUAAAAAGGAAGAAGACCCGAAAAUGUAGUGUAUCUAGACAUGAGCUUACCCAGACUUGUGUCACUUUUUAGCGUUUACAAAGUACAUUAUGUUUUCUUGUGAUCAUUUAGUACACUGGAGCAAUUUAUCAACUUUAGUUAUAAAUAUACUGAUGAAGCAUAAAAAGCUUUUUCUUCAUCAGUGUUUCGUUUAAUGCUGCUGUUUUUCUUAGUACUUCAGGUUUAUUUUUUGUUUGUUUUUAGCAACCUCCCCACCGGUUUUUUUGUGUAUCCCAUUCCUACCUUUGUUCUUCUCUUUGGGUUGAGGAACCUUUCUUUCUGCAGCAAAGGGGAGAGGUUG